ACACAGGCACGGGGUGCCGGGUUGGCCAUUGUGACACAGGCAUGGUGCGUCAGGGCCCGCGGUGACGCGGGACCUUGCGGUGCCCAAAGUCCAUUGUGACAUGGCAGAGCCCCGCCCCGGCUGGGGGGUAUAUAAAGGGCUUGUGGGGCCCGGGUCAGUCCCAGAACAGUGGCUGUGUCCAGGUAGCUGUGUGCGCCAGAGGACUGCAGGCACAGAGGAGGAGAAGGCGAAUCCCAACUCCCAGCCCCCCAGGCCCUGGCCCUGCUCACAGAGAGCCCAGGCCUUGAGGGAGCAGCAGGAGGAGGCUGAGAGGGCAAGCAGAGGGAGGAGAGGAGCCGUGGAGUCCUGUGCUGAGGAAGAGCCAGAGCUCUACGGAGGAGACAUGGACAAGUUCCAGCAAGGGACUCCAGGGGAAGCUUGCACUGAGCCACAGCUGUCCCCAGGAGAAGCCCAUAGCUGCCAGGAGCUCUCUGAGGGGGAUGAAGGCCUUGAGCCGGUCCAAGUAUGGGGGAGCUCCUGGCAUUUCCGGGACUGGGAUGAGGGCACGGAGAAAGAGCCCUCCCCAGUUGUCUCCGACUGGGAUGAGUGCAGGGGGCAGGAGCCGUGGCAGGCAGACAGUGAUUACUGUCAGGAUUUCUCAGAUUGGGAAGAAUCUCCUGAGCAGCGGCUGUCCCCAGGAGAAGGCACGAGCCGCCGGGCACUGUUGGACUGGGAAGCUUGCCAAAAGCAAGAGCUGCCCCAGGAUGGCCUGGAGUUGACUGGAGGCAAAGCGAAGAGAAAAUCCUCCAGGUCCAGCUGGGACGAUGAUAGUGAUGGAGAGCUGGCGCAGGACAGCAGGGAAUACUGUGACAUCCUGUGCAGCCAUCACAAGCCCUGGCAGCGGGAGGACGAUGACUGGGAUGAGGUGAGCGUCCUGGAGCUGCAUGAGGAAGGAGAAGAGCCCAGGCAGCAGAGACUGGUGGAUUUAGCCGGAGAGGGAAUCCUGCUGCCUGUCCCUAGAGAAGCUUGGGUGGAGUGCCAGGAACCCGAGCUGUGCCCGCAAGAGAAACUCUGGGCCGGGCCUGGCGCUCUGGCAGCCCAAGCCACAAUGGAAGUUGUCUCUUCUCCUGUGCAGCCGCUUCCCCCCAGGAAAGGCCGCUCGCUCUUGAGGCGGGCGCUGCGGGCGCUGCGGGGGCUGCGGGGGCUGCAGGGGCUGUUCCGCU
rnacentral:lncRNA from 1 species